rnacentral:tRNA from 1 species
GUGGGUGUGCUGGAGUGGUUAUCGUGCAUGACUAGACUUCAUGUUGGCUUUGCCCGCACAAGUUCGAAUCUUAUCGCUCACG